GAGCUUUCCCCUUCGGGGGACAAAGUGACAGGUGGUGCAUGGUUGUCGUCAGCUCGUGUCGUGAGAUGUUGGGUUAAGUCCCGCAACGAGCGCAACCCUUAAGCUUAGUUGCCAUCAUUAAGUUGGGCACUCUAGGUUGACUGCCGGUGACAAACCGGAGGAAGGUGGGGAUGACGUCAAAUCAUCAUGCCCCUUAUGAUUCGGGCUACACACGUGCUACAAUGGACAAUACAAAGGGCAGCUAAACCGCGAGGUCAUGCAAAUCCCAUAAAGUUGUUCUCAGUUCGGAUUGUAGUCUGCAACUCGACUACAUGAAGCUGGAAUCGCUAGUAAUCGUAGAUCAGCAUGCUACGGUGAAUACGUUCCCGGGUCUUGUACACACCGCCCGUCACACCACGAGAGUUUGUAACACCCGAAGCCGGUGGAGUAACCAUUUAUGGAGCUAGCCGUCGAAGGUGGGACAAAUGAUUGGGGUGAAGUCGUAACAAGGUAGCCGUAUCGGAA
rnacentral:rRNA from 1 species